UACGGAGGGGGCGAGCGUUAUUCGGAAUUACUGGGCGUAAAGGGCGCGUAGGCGGCCUGCUAAGUCGAACGUGAAAUCCCCGGGCUCAACCCGGGAACUGCGUCCGAUACUGGUUGGCUUGAAUCCGGGAGAGGGAUGCGGAAUUCCAGGUGUAGCGGUGAAAUGCGUAGAUAUCUGGAGGAACACCGGUGGCGAAGGCGGCAUCCUGGACCGGCAUUGACGCUGAGGCGCGAAAGCCAGGGGAGCAAACGGG
rnacentral:rRNA from 1 species